AGAACGAACGCUGGCGGCACGCCUAACACAUGCAAGUCGAGCGCCCAGCAAUGGGAGCGGCGGACGGGUGAGUAACACGUGGGAACAUGCCUUUCGGUACGGAACAACUGCGGGAAACUGCAGCUAAUGCCGUAUACGCCCUUACGGGGAAAGAUUUAUCGCCGAAAGAUUGGCCCGCGUCUGAUUAGCUAGUUGGUGAGGUAACGGCUCACCAAGGCUUCGAUCAGUAGCUGGUUUGAGAGAACGACCAGCCACAUUGGGACUGAGACACGGCCCAAACUCCUACGGGAGGCAGCAGUGGGGAAUCUUGGACAAUGGGGGAAACCCUGGAUCCAGCGAUGCCGCGUGAGUGAUGAAGGCCUUGGGUUGUAAAACUCUUUCGGACGGGACGAUAAUGACGGUACCCGUAGAAGAAGCUCCGGCUAACUUCGUGCCAGCAGCCGC
rnacentral:rRNA from 1 species